rnacentral:sRNA from 1 species
ACGCAUACGUGGCUAAUUGUGAUAGAUUGUUUGGUUUAAACAAAAGGAAAAUUUUCUUGCUUUCUCUUUUGUUUGGUUUCUCCGUCGACGAUACCAAAGGCGAUUCAACUUGAUUUGUUUGAUCCAGCGUUUUGAUCAUGAAAUCGGGAGAGCAACCACAUAUACUCAAUAUACAACCGCCAGAAUGAUGAUCGACGAUGAGAUUGUUCACCAAAUCAACUUCAAACCGGAUCUUGUGGUUAUAUUGUUGAAUUCUUUGUAACACCAGGAGCUUCUAUCAUGUGACUAUCUCAUGAGUUCUUACCAAGAGGACUGGGAAGAAUAGAAAUUGUGCCAACAUCAAUUGUGGAAGAUACCAGAUUCUUUAAAUGUAUGUACUGUUGUGAGUUUUAUCGAUUAAUGAGUUUGGUCUGAACUUAACCAUAUCCAUUAAUGAAUGAAUGUAUGUGUUUGGUCUGAACUUAACCAUAUUGAUUAAUAGAUGAAUGUGUGUGUUUGGUCUGAACUCAACCAUAUCGAUUAAUAGAUGAAUGUGAGUGUUUGGUCCGA